rnacentral:misc_RNA from 1 species
AAUAUUCCCAAGUUAAUUUUUUUAGAUGCAUCAAUGUCUCCAAAAGAACUGAUGAGAGAUGGCGAAGCAUUAACAUUGAGUACAAAACUAUUUGACAAAAGUACUAAGAGAGACUCGGUUAUUUUGGCUUAUUUUGAAGAGUGGAAACUUGUACAAAAGUCAUUCAGGUUCAUGUUUACUCUAAUUCGCACAAAUUUAAGUGUUUACUGCUUAAAUUCCCUCAGCUACCUUUGCAAGCA